rnacentral:snoRNA from 1 species
CUAUGAAGGUAGCAUGGUAAGGUGCACAGAAAUUGAACUUUAUGGGUCUACAUGUCUGCUCCCUCUGAGGCCUCUGUUGGAGCCUUUGAUUUGGGGGCCUGGUUCUGAUCUACAUUC